rnacentral:rRNA from 1 species
AGACGGGGCCCGCACAAGCGGUGGAGCAUUGUGGUUUAAUUCGAUGAUACGCGAAGUAACCUUACCGGGGUUUGACAUGCAGGUGAUCGCCGUUGAAAGACGGUUUUCCUCUUCGGAGGCACCUGCACAGGUGCUGCAUGGCUGUCGUCAGCUCGUGUCGUGAGAUGUUGGGUUAAGUCCCGCAACGAGCGCAGCCCUUAUCCCCAGUUGCCAUCAGGUAAAGCUGGGAACUCUGGGGAGACUGCCGGUGAUAAACCGGAGGAAGCGGGGAUGACGUCAAGUCCUCAUGGCCCUUACAUCCCGGGCUACACACGUGCUGCAAUGGCAGGUACAGAGGGCUGCGAAGCCGCGAGGUGGAGCGAAUCCCAGAAAACCUGUCUCAGUCCGGAUUGAAGUCUGCAACUCGACUUCAUGAAGGCGGAAUCGCUAGUAACCGCGAAUCAGCAGGUCGCGGUGAAUACGUUCCCGGGCCUU